UGUUGGUAUUAAAAUUAGGCUUAUAAACUAUGUAUUGAGUUAUAUCUGAUGACUGAGGCUGCUGUUCUGCCUAACAUCUCCUUUUGUGUUCCACGGAGGAAAGAAAGUCAUAAGAAACAACAUGAGGUUUCAGGCCGGAGAGUGCUAUGCUGUCCUCUAUGAUCAACAUGGAAGUGGCUAACCACAAGGUGUGGUUGCUUAACCAUCUGAGACACACACAUACAGACUUCUACUGAUAAAAGAGGUCACUGGAAGACUCUUUAGGUUGUGAAUUCUCCCAAGAGCAAGAGACAAUGCAGAAUCUGCAAAGUGAGAAGACAGACUUUCUGCUGGAAGUGAUACAGGAGAAAAGAGAGAGGAAAGAGGAAGAAGAUAAUGACCCCUGCGCAAACACACAACCUGAAUUACUCAAAUCACUGCCCACAGGAUACAGGCCGGCCUGCGUUUACCUCACUGCUCUGCAGAAAUGUGCAACUGCCAGUAUGAACAUAAACAUCUUGCUGAAAUCCUCACUUUAUCAGGUGGCUGACAUUCACACAAGGAGGCUUAAAGAAAACAAAUGUUGGCUGCAGAGAAACUUUCUCCCAAGAGAGUCUGGAUGUGAACUUUCAACAGUUGGUUUCACAAGCGCUGUUGCAUAAACGUACUCAUUUUUGCUGUAAAGAGGUGAGAGGGGAACCAAAGUGACAAGAAGAGACGUGCGUCUCUCUUUAGCCUGUCUUUACUCUUUCACCUACUUUCCUGGCAGUGGCUGAACAGAAACAAGGACUUUUAUUACAUUAUAUGAAUACUUUCUUGUAAACUAAAACCUGCUUUGCAAGCUCUCUGACAAAAGGUAACAAACAAACAACCAUCAAUAAUAGCAUACAGAUAAUGCUCAAAAACAUUACAAUGACAUUGUAGUCAAAUUACCAGGCCCAGAUGGAAACUGCACACUUUACAAAUGUUUCUAGUUUUUUCUGGGGGUGGAAUAGAUUUAUUUUAUAUUGUUUAAGUUAGAUCAAAUAAGAAUGAUCAAAUUAGCCAAAAUAUUUCAUAAACCAACAAGCAGGGGCGGGUGAUGUGAAGAACAUUGUGAAUGUAAUGAUUCUGAACAUCUGUCAUAGAAAACAAAUUACUAAGUAAACA